UACGUAGGGUGCAAGCGUUGUCCGGAAUUAUUGGGCGUAAAGAGCUCGUAGGCGGUCUGUCGCGUCGGCUGUGAAAACUCGGGGCUCAACUCCGAGCCUGCAGUCGAUACGGGCAGACUAGAGUUCGGUAGGGGAGACUGGAAUUCCUGGUGUAGCGGUGGAAUGCGCAGAUAUCAGGAGGAACACCGGUGGCGAAGGCGGGUCUCUGGGCCGUAACUGACGCUGAGGAGCGAAAGCAUGGGGAGCGAACAGG
rnacentral:rRNA from 1 species